rnacentral:rRNA from 1 species
CCUACGGGUGGCAGCCGUGAGGAAUAUUGGUCAAUGGACGCAAGUCUGAACCAGCCAUGCCGCGUGCAGGAAGACGGCUCUAUGAGUUGUAAACUGCUUUUGUACGAGGGUAAACGCAGAUACGCGUCUUUGUUUGAAAGUAUCGUACGACUAAGGAUCGGCUAACUCCGUGCCAGCAGCCGCGGUAAUACUGAGGCUUCAAGCGUUAUCCGGAUUUAUUGGGUUUAAAGGGUGCGUAGGCGGUCGGAUAAGUUAGAGGUGAAAUACACAGGUUCAACUUCGGAAUUGCCUCUGAUACUGGUCCGCUAGAGAGUAGUUGCGGUAAGCGGAAUGUCUAGUGUAGCGGUGAAAUGCUUAGAGAUCAUACAGAACACCAGUUGCGAAGGCAGCUUACCGAGCUACUUCUGACGUUGAGGCACGAAAGCGUGGGGAGCAAACAGGAUUAGAUACCCCAGUAGUC